GCAAAACUAGAAAUUCUAGUAUGGAGUUUCAAUAAACAAAAAUAUAAGCAGCACCAGCACCCCUGCCCUUCUUCCCCUGUAUCUUCUUCAUGUAGAAUUCCAGCUCUUUCUCCAAGAUGUAUAUGUCGGAAAUGAAAAAGCCCAUCAAUGCAAGAAAAAAGAAAGCAAAUAUUACCAUUAUAGUGUCUUGUUCUCCUGUAUCUAUCCAAUAACUACCAUGGAAAUAAACAAAAAUAAGGAACAACUUUGAUGGUCUCCAAAGCAAAUCUUAAGGUGUUUAAUGUCAUAAAAAAAAAGACUUCUAGCAAUUGUCCAAUACCCAUUACGAGGCAAGGGAAAGGAACGGAUAUAUAUAUCCAGCUUCAACAACAUAAAAGUCCAGGCAUGAUGAUGUAUGUUGAAUACUUCCAUUUUUGGGGCCUUCAACAAAUCUUGAAAACUAAAAAGCAAUCAAAGGGGUCACAUACCCAUCAGCACGUCCACAGUGGCUAGGCGGAGAUGAGACACAAGCUAACAAACGACCACUACCAAACUGCUCCUCAAUAUGUGGGUCAAGCGUGCGAUCUUUUUUACGCUUCUCAAGC
rnacentral:lncRNA from 1 species